UUUUUUUUUUUUUGCUUUUUAGGGCCAUACUUGCAGCAUAUGGAGGUUCCCAGGCUAGGGGUUGAACUGGAGCUACAGCUGCUGGCUUACACCACAGCCACAGCAAUGCCAGAUCUGAGCCACUCUGUGACCUACACCACAGCUCAGGGCAACACCAGAUCCUUAACCCACUGAGGGAGGCCAGGGAUCAAAUCCACAACCUCAUGGUUCCUAGUUGGAUUCGUUUCUGCUGUGCCACAAUGGGAACUCCUAAAGACAGUUUUUGACCACAGAACAUUUCUGGUGAGCUAAAUUUUCCUUAUAAAUGAUGUGAUUCCAUUAUUGCUUUCUCUGAAAAACUGGUGAGUUUUUGUCACAUUUCCUUAACAUCUUUUAUGGGUGAUCAUUUCCUUGAGGGUAUGUAUGGUUUUCUCUGUUAUUAACAGCACAGGUCAUGUUAAAACUUUAAGCCUAGUCUGAAGGUCGAGAAGAAAUUGAGUCAGGAUUCCUUAGUGGGAUAAUUACACUCCACCACCAUCAGCAUAACUCUGCAAUGUGCAUGAUUUCACAGGAGUAUGUCCAUACGCCCAGGCACACACUCACAUACACACCCCCCAUACAUAUCACACACAAAUGCAAGCAUGACACUCUACACAUACCACAUACAGAGACCCCAAACAUUCAAAUAGAGGAACACAUCCACAUGUGCACAACAUACAUACACAGACCACACCACCCACAUGCACACCUGCCACACCACACACAUACAUAAGAAAGAACCACCUUUCAUAGUUGAUAGUGUGUUUUCUUUUGCACAUGAUUAUAAACACAAAGAAUAUAAGUACUUUGUCUUUUUAUUGAAAUAUAGUUGCUUUACAAUAUUGUGUUAGUUCAGAAGCAUAGCAUAGAGAUCUCGUAUUUUUGCAGAUUAUUAUAUGAUCCAACAAGUCCUCUGUCUUAUUCAUUUUUGAUUUCUAGGAACUCCUGACACCCAAUUAUGUAAAACUGGCUAGAGCAUAGUUUUUCCUCAAAAAGGUUGAAUUCUAGCAGCUGCCACUUUAAAAGUUAAAAGUGAGAUUUCUUUUCCUAUGUGUGACCUAAUACUAAGUAAUACUUGAGGGAUUGGCAUAUGCACACUGAGGUAUAUGCAAUGAUUGACCAACAGGGACCCUCUGUAUAGCACAGAGAACUCUACCCAAUAUUCUGUAAUAAUCUAUGUGGGAAAAGAAUCUGAAAGAGAAUGGAUGUGUGUGUAUAUGUAUAAGUGAAUCUCUUUGUUGUACAGCAGAAAUUAUCACAACCUUGUAAAUCGACUAUACUUCAAUAAAAAUUUUUUUAUAAAAUAACACCUCCUCUGGUUUAUAGCUGGUUUGCUUCCCAAAUACACUCAUCUCAAACUAUGUGAAAGGUAACCUCAGUUGAAACUGACGAACCACAGAACAGAAGUAGAUAGAGAACAUAGGUAAGUGGCUGGAAUGCAGUAUAUGUGGAUCUGUAUCCUGGUUCUGGCCCCUUAUUCACCGUGUGGCAUUGAGUGAGCUGAGUAAUAUUCUCAAGCUUCAGUUUUCUCUACUUCUAAAACAAAGAUGAUAUUACCAGGAACUUCCCCUAACAGUUGUCAAGAUUAAAUAUUGUAAUGUGCUAUAUACUAAAGUGUUUGGCAGCCUCCCUAGCAUACAGCGAGUGCUGAAUAAAUGUUAGUUAUUUUUAUUAGUUCUCAAAAGAUAUCAGGAGCUUUAAAGCCAGCCAAUGCAACCCUUCACUUUCAUGUAGAAACCAGCUGGAAUAAUUUCUGGAAGAAGAAAAGACACAGACAUUUCAACAAGUAAUGAUAUGUUUGCAUUAGCCUGAGGAAUGCCAAGUGUGAUGGAAUCAUGCGUUUGUUCAUUUAUCAUGAAGGAGGUUUGUUCCUUAU
ensembl:lncRNA